GGCACACAUUGACAUAGACCACUGUUGCAAUCAACAACACAGUCGCUAUCCAAGUAGCAUUAUAGAGCUGUCAUGCAACGCAACAACUGUGCUAUCUGCCAUCGCACAUCAACGAAGAAGUGCUGCCGCCCACAUUCCACCUCACGUCUGUCCGACCAGCUGCAAUCCUCGAGGACGCCCCACUGUACCACGAUUUCACUACGAUGUUUGACAAGAA